AUAGGAAUCAGCCUGAGAGCUUGUUCAAAUGCAGAUUCUGAUUCCAUGAGUGUGGGAUGGGGCCUGAGAUUUUGCAUUUUUAACAAGCUCCCAGGUGAUGCCAUU
rnacentral:pre_miRNA from 1 species